GAUGAACGCUAGCGAUAGGCCUAACACAUGCAAGUCGAGGGGCAUCACAUGAAGUAGCAAUACGGAUGGUGGCGACCGGCGCACGGGUGAGUAACACGUAUGCAACCUGCCUUCAACAAGGGGAUAACCCGUUGAAAGACGGACUAAUACCCUAUAACACAGGGGUCCCGCAUGGGAAUAUUUGUUAAAGGACAACCGGUUGAAGAUGGGCAUGCGUUCCAUUAGCUAGUUGGCGGGGUAACGGCCCACCAAGGCAACGAUGGAUAGGGGAACUGAGAGGUUUAUCCCCCACACUGGUACUGAGACACGGACCAGACUCCUACGGGAGGCAGCAGUGAGGAAUAUUGGUCAAUGGACGCAAGUCUGAACCAGCCACGUCGCGUGAAGGAAGACGGCCCUACGGGUUGUAAACUUCUUUUAACGGGAAUAAAGUGCCCCACGCGUGGGGUUUUGCAUGUACCGUAUGAAUAAGGAUCGGCUAACU
rnacentral:rRNA from 1 species